GACGAACGCUGGCGGCGUGCUUAACACAUGCGAGUCGAACGGAAAGGCCCUGCUUUUGUGGGGUGCUCGAGUGGCGAACGGGUGAGUAACACGUGAGUAACCUGCCCUCGACUUUGGGAUAACUUCAGGAAACUGGGGCUAAUACCGGAUAGGAGCUCCUGCUGCAUGGUGGGGGUUGGAAAGUUUCGGCGGUUGGGGAUGGACUCGCGGCUUAUCAGCUUGUUGGUGGGGUAGUGGCUUACCAAGGCUUUGACGGGUAGCCGGCCUGAGAGGGUGACCGGCCACAUUGGGACUGAGAUACGGCCCAGACUCCUACGGGAGGCAGCAGUGGGGAAUAUUGCACAAUGGGCGGAAGCCUGAUGCAGCAACGCCGCGUGCGGGAUGACGGCCUUCGGGUUGUAAACCGCUUUCGCCUGUGACGAAGCGUGAGUGACGGUAAUGGGUAAAGAAGCACCGGCUAACUACGUG
rnacentral:rRNA from 1 species